UAGUGAUUGGCGGACGGGUGAGUAAUGCUUGGGAACUUGCCUUUGCGAGGGGGAUAACAGUUGGAAACGACUGCUAAUACCGCAUAAUGUCUUCGGACCAAACGGGGCUUCGGCUCCGGCGCAAAGAGAGGCCCAAGUGAGAUUAGCUAGUUGGUAAGGUAACGGCUUACCAAGGCGACGAUCUCUAGCUGUUCUGAGAGGAAGAUCAGCCACACUGGGACUGAGACACGGCCCAGACUCCUACGGGAGGCAGCAGUGGGGAAUAUUGCACAAUGGGGGAAACCCUGAUGCAGCCAUGCCGCGUGUGUGAAGAAGGCCUUCGGGUUGUAAAGCACUUUCAGUUGUGAGGAAAAGUUAGUAGUUAAUACCUGCUAGCCGUGACGUUAACAACAGAAGAAGCACCGGCUAACUCCGUGCCAGCAGCCGCGGUAAUACGGAGGGUGCGAGCGUUAAUCGGAAUUACUGGGCGUAAAGCGCACGCAGGCGGUUUGUUAAGCUAGAUGUGAAAGCCCCGGGCUCAACCUGGGAUGGUCAUUUAGAACUGGCAGACUAGAGUCUUGGAGAGGGGAGUGGAAUUCCAGGUGUAGCGGUGAAAUGCGUAGAUAUCUGGAGGAACAUCAGUGGCGAAGGCGACUCCCUGGCCAAAGACUGACGCUCAUGUGCGAAAGUGUGGGUAGCGAACAGGAUUAGAUACCCUGGUAGUCCACACCGUAAACGCUGUCUACUAGCUGUGUGUGUCUUUAAGGCGUGCGUAGCGAAGCUAACGCGCUAAGUAGACC
rnacentral:rRNA from 1 species